rnacentral:rRNA from 1 species
AUUGAACUCUGGCGGCAGGCCUAACACAUGCAAGUCGAACGAGUGGCGGACGUGUGAGUAAUGUCUGGGCAACUGCCUGAUGGAGGGGGAUAACUACUGGAAACGGUAGCUAAUACCGCAUACCAUCAGAUGUGCCCAUAUGGGAUUAGCUUGUUGUUGGGGUAACGGCUAACCCAGGCGACGAUCCCUAGCUGGUCUGAGAGGAUGACCAGCCACACUGGAAAGGAGACACGGUCCAGACGCCUACGGGAGGCAGCAGUGGGGAAUAUUGCACAAUGGGCGCAAGCCUGAUGCAGCCAUGCCGCGUGUAUGAAGAAGGCCUUAGGGUUGUAAAGUACUGUCAGCGGGGAGGCGUUACCCGCAGAAGAAGCACCGGCUAACUCCGUGCCAGCCGCCGCGGUAAUUC